rnacentral:rRNA from 1 species
UACAGAGGGGGCUAGCGUUGUUCGGAAUUACUGGGCGUAAAGGGCGCGUAGGUGGCCUGUUAAGUCGAACGUGAAAUCCCCGGGCUCAACCCGGGAACUGCGUCCGAGACUGGCAGGCUCGAAUCCGGGAGACGGUAGUGGAAUUCCCAGUGUAGCGGUGAAAUGCGUAGAUACUGGGAGGAACACCGGUGGCGAAGGCGGCUACCUGGACCGGUUCUGACGCUGAGGCGCGAAAGCGUGGGUAGCAAACAGG